rnacentral:rRNA from 1 species
CCCUUAGAUGUUCUGGGCCGCACGCGUGCUACACUGAUGCAUUCAACGAGUCUAAAACCUGGUCUGAUAGGGCUGGGUAAUCUUUUGAAAGUGCAUCGUGAUUGGGAUAGAUGAUUGCAAUUCUUCAUCUUCAACGAGGAAUGCCUAGUAAACGCAAGUCAUCAGCUUGCAUUGAUUACGUCCCUGCCCUUUGUACACACCGCCCGUCGCUCCUACCGAUUGAAUGAUCCGAUGAAUACCAUGGAUUGAGAGUACGAAUAGGUUCGCUUAUUUCUGCUGCUCGAGAAGUGGAGUAAAUCUUAUCAUUUAGAGGAAGGAGAANUCGUANCA